UUGCCCUAGUAACGGCGAGUGAAGCGGCAACAGCUCAAAUUUGAAAUCUGGCCCCUUUUGGGGGUCCGAGUUGUAAUUUGCAGAGGGUGCUUUGGCGUCGGCAGCGGUCUAAGUUCCUUGGAACAGGACGUCGCAGAGGGUGAGAAUCCCGUACGUGGCCGCCUGCCUUCGCCGUGUAAAGCCCCUUCGACGAGUCGAGUUGUUUGGGAAUGCAGCUCUAAUUGGGAGGUAAAUUUCUUCUAAAGCUAAAUACGGGCCAGAGACCGAUAGCGCACAAGUAGAGUGAUCGAAAGAUGAAAAGCACUUUGGAAAGAGAGUCAAAAAGCACGUGAAAUUGUUGAAAGGGAAGCGCUUGCAGCCAGACUUGCCCGCCGUCGCUCACCCGGCCUCGGUCGGGGCACUCUUCGGCGGGCAGGCCAGCAUCGGUUCGGGCGGUCGGACAAUGGCCUCUGUCAUGUACCACCCCCUCGGGGGUGGCCUUAUAGGGGAGGCGUGACGCGACCAGCCCGGAUCGAGGACCGCGCUUCGGCUAGGAUGCUGGCGUAAUGGCUGUAAGCGGCCCGUCUUGAAACACGGACCAAGGAGUCUAACAUCUAUGCGAGUGUUUGGGUGUCAAGCCCGAGCGCGCAAUGAAAGUGAACGGAGGUGGGAACCCCCUCGGGGGCGCACCAUCGACCGAUCCUGAUGUCUUCGGAUGGAUUUGAGUAUGAGCAUAGCUGUUGGGACCCGAAAGAUGGUGAACUAUGCUUGAAUAGGGUGAAGCCAGAGGAAACUCUGGUGGAGGCUCGCAGCGGUUCUGACGUGCAAAUCGAUCGUCAAAUUUGGGCAUAGGGGC
rnacentral:rRNA from 1 species